CAACCCUCAAGCUCAGCUUGGUAUUGGACUCUCGUCGGUCAAACGACGGGUCUCAAAUUCAGUGGCGGCGCCGUUGGGUCCUGAACGUAGUAAUAUAUUUCGUUACAGGUGCCCCGCGUGCUUCCGCCAUUAAACCCCCAAAUUUCUAU
rnacentral:misc_RNA from 1 species